AGCAGUCGCCGCGGUAAUACGAAGGGGGCUAGCGUUGUUCGGAAUUACUGGGCGUAAAGCGCACGUAGGCGGACAUUUAAGUCAGGGGUGAAAUCCCGGGGCUCAACCCCGGAACUGCCUUUGAUACUGGGUGUCUAGAGUAUGGAAGAGGUGAGUGGAAUUCCGAGUGUAGAGGUGAAAUUCGUAGAUAUUCGGAGGAACACCAGUGGCGAAGGCGGCUCACUGGUCCAUUACUGACGCUGAGGUGCGAAAGCGUGGGGAGCAAACAGGAUUAGAUACCCCUGUAGUCCCUGUCUCUUAUAC
rnacentral:rRNA from 1 species